GAUGAACGCUGGCGGCGUGCCUAAUACAUGCAAGUCGAGCGAAUGGAUUAAGAGCUUGCUCUUAUGAAGUUAGCGGCGGACGGGUGAGUAACACGUGGGUAACCUGCCCAUAAGACUGGGAUAACUCCGGGAAACCGGGGCUAAUACCGGAUAACAUAUUGAACAGCAUGGUUCGAAAUUGAACGGCGGCUUCGGCUGUCACUUAUGGAUGGACACGCGUCGCAUUAGCUAGUUGGUGAGGUAACGGCUCACCAAGGCAACGAUGCGUAGCCGACCUGAGAGGGUGAUCGGCCACACUGGGACUGAGACACGGCCCAGACUCCUACGGGAGGCAGCAGUAGGGAAUCUUCCGCAAUGGACGAAAGUCUGACGGAGCAACGCCGCGUGAGUGAUGAAGGCUUUCGGGUCGUAAAACUCUGUUGUUAGGGAAGAACAAGUGCUAGUUGAAUAAGCUGGCACCUUGACGGUACCUAACCAGAAAGCCACGGCUAACUACGUGCCAGCAGCCGCGGUAA
rnacentral:rRNA from 1 species